rnacentral:tRNA from 1 species
CAACCCCUGGUGAAGCCGGCGUGGCCAACGGGUUCACGCCCCGUUAGCCAUGGCGCGGUGUUACGCACGGCGGAGGGUGU